UCCUAUAGAAGUAUAUUCAAAAGAAAACGGAGUAGAGUAUCAAGAAACAAACGCACUGUAUUUUUUUGCCCAUCCAGAAAACCAAAAUCCGCAGAAUUAAUUAAGGUCACACAACAAAAGACUGUCAGAUGACUCGAAGAAUUCUGAAAAGAACACCAAUAAGCAUUCUGCGCUACAACAAGUCAAUUCUUGUGUGAUUUGUGUGGUUGGUUUGCUUUCAUACUUGUUUCUAACCUAGGUUGCUUCCGUUGCACAAUUUUCAGCUCCCAUCAAUUGGUAGCAGAGCCUUUCGAAACUCGUAUCAAGAAAUCGCAUCAUUCAAUCCCCUAGCCAACAUCCUAACCCAAAAUAAGCUUGAGGGUCCAAACUUUGUGGAUUAGAAAAGGAAUUUGGACAUUGUACUUACUGCUGAGGAGUACAAGUUUGUGCUCAGUGAGGUUUGUCGUGAAAAACCCAGUGAGGGUGCUUCUGAUGAGGUCACCAGGGCUUACCAGAAAUGGUUUAAGGCUGAUGAGAUGGCGCGAUGUUACAUUUUGGCAUCUAUGUCAGUUCUUGCAGCUAAUGGUGCAAAUGGUGCUGUGAAAAAGCCCAAGAGCAAGCAACCUGAUCACUGGAAGUAGCAAUGUCCAACCUGGAUAGCCAAGAAAAAGCAAGGGGUUUCAGGUAACACGACAGCUAAAUGAAGGAGAAGUUAGCAUCUUUUUGGGAAAUGACACUGAAGUUACAGUUUUAGUUGUAGGUAAUAUUACCCUUAGUCUUAAGAAUAAUAAAACAUUAGUUUUAAGGGAUGUUUUGUAUGUUCCUUCAAUUAG